AUGCGAAGUCUGUUGGACAGAUGGCCGGAUGGGUUUCUCGCACGUAUAGCUUCCUCUAUCGCUGGAGAUUGGGUCGAUGGCCCCGAUCUAGCUUCGCAAGUCUCAUCCGAUUCAGCCCGCGUCCCUAGACAGACUUGCCGCCAGGUAGCGACGGUGAAGGGCGGAGGGCGUGCUGCACUUUCCGGAGAAAUCUCCGCCGAAACCAAGCAAACAGAACUCAGAUCGCGAGCAGGGGAUAGGCACCCGCGUGACUUUGGACGACACCUGCAAAAGUUGCAUCGUCUCCGACCACAUCAGAUCGGCCUCUCUGGCAGCUUAUUCAUGGGAAAGCGCGCCCAUCAGCCUCUUCAGCAGCAGCAAAGGCAAGGGCAAGGGCACCCCCGGCGCCUCGUCAUCCCGUGCUCCCCUCCCCCUACACCGCCGACGCGUUUUCGCCCUGAACGCCGGCGCCUGCACAUCCCGGUGCACCAAGCGCGGUGGCACUGGGAGUACAGACAACCCCUCCCCUAUCCCGACGUGACGCUGCCGCACCAUUGGCAUUUGGAUCCAAACCGGAUCCCGGUGCCGGCGGUUCCACAGACCCAGUCGGCGCACGACGACGAGUACGCCGCCGACUCUCCCAACUGGAAGGCUUGGUUCGCCCUCGAACACGAGGAGCAACGGCGCUCGGGUGUCGACGUCGUCCCGCCGCCGUUCCCACCGCCGCCCCCGGAGGUAGAGCCGGAGGACAUGGAGGCGGAGGCGGAGUACCAAGCCGUCCUCGAGGAGGCCCUGCAGCACGUACUGGAGGCUAGCCGCAUCGACGAGGACGCGCACUGGGAUGGGCUGGAGAAAGCCCUUGCCCUGUCGGCGGCGGGGGACUCCAUCCACAGCCCGCUCUUCGUGCCGCCGCCUCCACCGUCGCUGCCCGUCCAGCCCAAGCCAGAGCCGGAGCCGUCGCGUAAGCGCUCCCCGCCUCCACCCACUUGGCCGGAGGAGGCCUACUCGUGGACGGGCCAGUACCGCGAGUGGGUGAGCGCGCCUCCCGCCCACUUCUCCGCCACGACGGAGGAGGAGGCGGCCCACUUGGAACGAUGGAAGGAGCACUGGCUCCGCCAGGAGCAGGCCGACGGCGAGGAGGAGAUGCGCUACGAGGCCAUGCUCCAACGCGACGCGGAGGCGCUCCGGCUCGAGGGGGAGGAGGAAGAGCGCGCGCGGCUUGCCGCAAUGCCGCCGCCCCAGCAGACGACGGAGGAGGCUGCCCUGGCAGCGUACCAGGCGGCGUUCGGGUGGGCUGGGCCUGCUCCGGUCUUCAUCGACCUCACCGACGACGGCGGUGUCGAGGGCAAGGGCAAGGGCAAGGCCGACAACGUCUAG
rnacentral:rRNA from 1 species